AUGCACGCUGGCGGCGUGCCUCAUCCCUGCCAGUCGCGCGAACAGACGAGGAGCUUGCUCCUUUGACGUUAGCGGCGGACGGGUGAGUAACACGUGGAUAACCUACCUAUAAGACUGGGAUAACUUCGGGAAACCGGAGCUAAUACCGGAUAACAUGUUGAACCGCAUGGUUCAACAGUGAAAGACGGUCUUGCUGUCACUUAUAGAUGGAUCCGCGCCGCAUUAGCUAGUUGGUAAGGUAACGGCUUACCAAGGCAACGAUGCGUAGCCGACCUGAGAGGGUGAUCGGCCACACUGGAACUGAGACACGGUCCAGACUCCUACGGGAGGCAGCAGUAGGGAAUCUUCCGCAAUGGGCGAAAGCCUGACGGAGCAACGCCGCGUGAGUGAAGAAGGUCUUCGGAUCGUAAAACUCUGUUAUUAGGGAAGAACAAAUGUGUAAGUAACUAUGCACGUCUUGACGGUACCUAAUCAGAAAGCCACGGCUAACUACGUG
rnacentral:rRNA from 1 species